rnacentral:rRNA from 1 species
AUGGCGUCCGCUCCCCGCCGCCCCCUCCUCGUCCCCAAGCCAGAUCCCGACGCGCCCGCUCCCACCGCCGAGCUCUGCGCCGCCCUCCUCCGCCGGGUGUCCGCCAAGCCCGACCCCGACGCCGACGCGCUCCCGGCCCCGACCCAGACGACGCCGCUCACCCCCGACCUCUGUGCCGCGCUCCGCCGGCAGCUCGACCCCUCCCCCGACGACCAUGCCGACUUCGCCCACAGCCUCCGCCUCGCCCAGCGGCGCCUCGACGCCAUCUCCGCCAGCCUUUCCUCCACACCUCCCCAGCCAUCGCCUCCCCCACCUCCCCCUGCUCCGCGGAGCGCCAGUCUUUCCUCUACGCCUCCGCGGCCUCCGCCUGCACCGCGCAGCGCCGACCCGGCGCGGGCCUCUUCCUCGACUGCCACAGCCAGCGCCAAGGGCAAGAAGCGCGCGCGCGGCACCGCCGGCCCGGAGAUGGUGCGCGCCACCGUCACCGCGGAGGCCGACCACCUCGAGGUCCGCACACUGGUGCGCCGGGCGCGCCUCACCUUCGAGGCGGUCCGAGGGAUCUACCACCGCGGUGGCCGCAUGCGCGCCGACAUGACCGCCCUGAGCACGAUGCUCUCCCAGGGCCUCUGCCUCUACCGCGACGUGCGCAUCGUCGGCGCCAUCCCGGGCGUCUUCGUCGGCGACGUCUUCAGCUACCGCGCCGAGCUCAUCGUCGUCGGCCUCCACAACCAAACCCAGGCCGGCAUCGGCUUCAUCCCCGCCAACCUCGUCAGCGAGGGCCACCCCGUCGCCACCAGCAUUGUCUCCUCCGGCGGCUACCUCGACGACCACGACAACGGCGAGGUCCUUAUCUACACCGGCAGCGGCGGCCGCCCGCGACACGGCGUCGAGCACAACACCGACCAGGAAUUCGAGCGCGGCAACCUCGCGCUCGCCUACAGCCACAAGUACGGCGUCGAGGUACGCGUCAUCCGCUGCCACGACUGCGACACCAGCCCCAGCGCCAAGCUAUACGUCUACGACGGCCUCUACAAGGUCGACUCCAUCACCUACGGCCCCGGAAAGUCAGGCCACGAGGUCUGCAAGUUCAAGCUCGUGCGCAUCCCCGGCCAGGCCCCGCUCGGCAGCAAGAUCUGGCGCUCUGCCCGGGAUCUCACCAACAUGCUCGACUCCAACAUCCGGCCGCGCGGCUACGUCACGCGAGACCUGUCCAAGGGCAAGGAGCUGAUCCGUGUCCCCAUCUUCAACAAUGUGGAUCGAGACAUCUCUCCCCUCGGCUUCGAGUAUAUUUCCCGCCCUGACUUCCCGGUUCUGCCCAGGCCGGUGAGGCGUUUCAGGUGCUGCCAGUACGCGACGGCGGCGUGCGGCGGGUCGUCGUCAUCUGGCAGCUGCGCCUGCGUGAGGAAGAACGGCGGAGGCGGCCCGGCGUACAAUGCCGACGGCACGCUGGUCAGGGGAAGGCCGGUGGUGUACGAGUGCGGCGCCCAGUGCGGGUGCCCAGCGAGCUGCUCGAACCGGGUGACGCAGCGAGGGAUGCAGCACCGGCUGGAGGUGUUCCGGUCGAGGCAGACAGACUGGGGCGUCAGGGCACUGGACUUGAUCCAGCCGGGCGCCUUCGUCUGCGAGUUCAGCGGAGACGUGGUCACCGUGGACGACGACGGUCACCACGCAGGCAAUGCCGGCGGCGCGUCGACUGAAUGGGGCGGCAUCGUCGAUCCGAGGAAGUUUCCGGCGAGAUGGAGGGAGUGGGGAGACGCCUCCGCUGCCACGCUUCCGGACGACGCCGAGGAACCUCCCCGAUUCGCACAUUUGGCAGGGCCGCGCCCGCGCUACGUGCUCGACGUGUCCCGGAGGAGGAACUUCGCUCCCUACAUCAGCCACAGCAGCGCCCCGAACGUGUUCGUCCAGUUGGUGCUCCGUGCCGACGACAACGAGUCGUACCCUCGUCUGAUGUUGUUCGCCAUGGACACCAUCCCGCCGCUGCGGGAGCUGAGCAUCGACUACGGCAUCGGUCCGUGA